GAAAUGAACAUCUAGCAUAUAGGCAACCGACUGAUUUUGUGAACUAAGGCAGCAAACUCUAGCGUGUUUUUUCUCCUUGGACCACCACAGUGAUGGAUACCUCAUCCAGAAUGAUAAGUAUAACUUAAACAUUGCAAUCUUCUUAUAAGUUCCAACUCCAUCACUAAAUAUACCUAUAGAGCAGUACACAAGUUUACCUAAAAGAGGAACAGAAAGGAUCCAAAAAAACCUGUUUCAUGAUUAACCAUUUUAGUUUCGUC
rnacentral:lncRNA from 1 species